AGCAGCCGCGGUAAUUCCAGCUCCAAUAGCGUAUAUUAAAGUUGUUGCAGUUAAAAAGCUCGUAGUUGAACUUCGGGAUCAAUGUUUCGGUCAUGCCCUUGGUAUGUACUGAUAUUAUUGGUUUCUCACCUUCUAAAGAACCGUAAUGACAUUAAUUUGGUGUCACGGGGAAUUAGGACUGUUACCUUGAAAAAAUUAGAGUGUCUAAAGCAGGCUCACGCUUGAAUACAUUAGCAUGGAAUAAUGAAAUAGGACAUCCGAUUCUAUUUUGUUGGUUUCUAGGAUCGAUGUAAUGAUUAAUAGGGAUAGUUGGGGGCAUUAGUAUUCAAUUGUCAGAGGUGAAAUUCUUGGAUUUAUUGAAGACUAACUACUGCGAAAGCAUUUGCCAAGGAUGUUUUCAUUAAUCAAGAACGAAAGUUAGGGGAUCGAGGACGAUCAGAUACCGUCGUAGUCUUAACCAUAAACUAUGCCGACUAGGGAUCGGAUGAUGUUAAUUUUUUAAUGACUCA
rnacentral:rRNA from 1 species